rnacentral:rRNA from 1 species
CCUGAAGAAGAGCUCGCGUCAGAUUAGCUAGUUGGUGAGGUAACGGCUUACCAAGGCAUCGAUCUGUAGCUGGUCUGAGAGGAUGACCAGCCACACUGGGACUGAGACACGGCCCAGACUCCUACGGGAGGCAGCAGUGAGGAAUUUUCCGCAAUGGGCGCAAGCCUGACGGAGUAAUACCGCGUGCGGGAGGAAGGUCUAUUGACUGUAAACCGCUUUUAUUAAGAAAGAAUUCUGACGGUACUUAAUGAAUAAGCCUCGGCUAACUCCGUGCCAGCAGCCGCGGUAAUACGGAGGAGGCAAGCGUUAUCCGGAAUUAUUGGGCGUAAAGCGUCCGUAGGUGGUGAAUGCAAGUCGGCUGUCAAAGCCCGUGGCUCAACCACGGAAAGGCAGUGGAAACUACAAAACUCGAGUGCAGUAGGGGCAGAGGGAA